UCCAAGUCUAUAAUUCUAUGGAAAAUGUCAUGAGGCUUUUUUGUCAGAAUAAGUAUCUGAAAUAAAAAUAAUAAUAGCCACUUGGAUUGCAGCUGCAGAAUUCUCUAGGGCGGGAUAGAAAUAACAUUUUUUACUUAUUUAUCCUAGCCAGCUGGGCCAGUGACUAUUAGAGGGAUUCUAGGCCCUUUGUCCAAAAAAAGUUGCCUUUCUAUGUUCUGGAUAGUGCUGGGUAUCGUUUUGGAGAACAGAACAUAAUUUCAUUCUACUAGCUCCUCCUGUUACCUUCCACGGCUAUCUGUUUUGCCUGAGCAGAGCUAGGGAGAUACUGGUGGUAAAGAACAAAAAGACGAGGCAAAGAGUAAGAGGACGUAGAAACCUUCCCAUGUACACCUGCACAACCUGUCAGAUCGGAUUCCUCCUCCUAUUCCUGUGCACCACGUGUUUGUUCCUCCUGGUAACUGCCCUCCUUUGCCCAGGCAUAUGGCAUAUGGGAAGAGAAAGGGGAGUUGGAUUUGAAUGGAAAGUUGUGGCAUGUGGGGCUGACUUCUCUUCUUUCUCUGUGUUGUAAAUAUCUGUUUCACCAAGGCAAAGGAAGGGAGAUACUAAGAAAAACAGAAACACACAGCACACCUGCCUCCUAAAUAGCCCCCCUUUGCUCUUCUCUGAAGUUGGGGCUGCUAUGCAAAUACUCACAUGGCAGUCCCAACUUCACAUGGCAAAAGUAGUGAAUACUCAAGACUAUGAGUAUGAACUCUGUGAAAGUUGGGGUAAUAUGGAUUCUGGGAUGUAAUGGGGCUGUUUCUCCUGGUAUCUCCCCUCCUGUUUUACACAUUUUAAGGUUUCCUGAUUGGUUUUCUGGCAGACAUUUGGGGCCGGGAUUUUAGGGGCACAAGAGUUGGAUCCAGGGGCUGUGCUUUGCUCACCCCUGAUUUAUAGUCAUGUUCUUGGGCAGUGGGCACUUGUUUUGUGAAUGGGCCAAUGGUUUGAUGCAAAACAGAUUCAGUUUCCCCAAUUAUACAUACAUUAGGUAAUUUUUUAAUAUGACAAAGAGUGCUAUUGCUUGAGCGCUGGCAAGAUUCAAUAGGUCCCAGAAAGCUGGAGGUCAGAGAUAGUUCAUAGCAUCAUUAUUUGCCUUCAUGAGAGCCAGGCCUACAGGAAGCCCAUUCAGGCACCUGAUUGUUACAAAAAUAUUUUUGCAAAUCAAAGACUUCUAUUCACUGUCUAAGGAAAAUGUUGUUUUGGAGUUCAAAAGGAAUAUAUCAGAUCACAAGGGCUGCAGAGCCAGGUAUGAGAAACAGUAUAGCUUUUUGAGGAAGGUUAAGGGUAGCUUCUGCACCUUUAAAACCAUAUAUUUGAGAUGCAAAAUUUAAACGUUUUAGAUAGAUAAUUGCAUAUGUAUCUUCACAAUGAUCAUUUAAAAGCUCAGAUCAGCCAGCAUUCCGGAAUGGUUCUCAGCAGGGCCUAUAAUAUGGAACAAACUGCUUUUCAGUCGCCUCAAAACAUCUGCUAAAAAUAAAGCUAUAAUGGGUGACUUUGUUCUUGGACUUUUGUUGCUGUUGUUCUUAAGUAGCCUGUUAUAUCAUUACCGGCAAAUGGUGCUCUUCUUGGCCUUCAGUCCACUCUCACUGCUGCUCCAUCUUUCUACUCUACCAAAAAACUAUGUAUUUACUAAAUUUUCCAAUGAUCUUUCUAUGUGAUGAUGGAAGAACACUUCUCUUGAGACUUUUGAAUAAAACUUGUUUGGCAUUUACAUGGUCAUCUUUCUGGCGCUAGGUAGAAACAUUUCUUCCCACCCAGGAAUUUUAUAUCCACAAUAUUCGAAACUUUUUUUUAGAGUAACAUGUCUAGUAUGGCCAGUGGUAUAAAGGUCCUAACUUCUGUUGUUGUCCUUAUCUUGUAUGUUGGGUUGAGUUUAGCUAUAAGGCAUAUUCAUACAAUUGUGGAUCCCAAAAGAUGUAUAUAAUGUACCUUGUCCAAAUUUUUCAGCCCUUAUUUUUAUCUUCUUUAUGAGCAUGUAUCAUUUGUUAUGUGGCUUUUGGUUUUAUUGCCUUGCUUAUCUUCUGCUCUCUGUAGCAGUCUCUGUUAUGCUGGCCUCUGUUCUUGGACUCUUAAUGAUUUCAGUAAACACAAUUGCUCUUUGCGUGCUUUUAGCUUCAUCUUUUAGACCAGAGCUUGGCGUUCAGAUCCCAUUAACCCUAGCUAACAUAGAAAAUGAUGAGGAAUGCUAAGAGCUUUAAUCCAAGAACAUCUGGAAAGACCACGUUUCCCACUCCAGUUUUAGGCUCAUUACUCCUAAACAGAGAUUUGGAAAAAAAUUCUAGAUUAUAAUUCAUGACAGACAAAGUAUGGCCCACUUUUGUGAUGUCUUAAGCUCCACUGUUAGUCCCACAAAGUCUUCCUACCUUGCAUUUUUUUGGGGGUAAAACCUUUAUUUUGCAUCAUUUUCUAGCAGUUUUUGCCCAAAUAUAUCUCAGAAAGUCUCCCUCAGUUAUAAAAACAGGUAAAAAUAUUCCCACGUCCAUCCAGUCUAAAAAAAUUGUUCUAAACUCAGUAGUGUUAGAGAAAGAAAGGGAAACUGAUACUGAAUCUCAUGCUAAACAAAAUAUACCUAUAGAAACCACAGUUUAAAAUGAAUAUCUUUUAUUAAUAUGAAUUACACAUUAUACUUUAAGGAUACCAUAUAGGGAAGAACCUGUCUGUAUCCCACAGCAUGGUGUAGAGCCACCUUGUGUCCCAGUUGGUAGAAAAGUGGAAAAAUUAAUUAAAAAAGCAAACAACGGUUUGAGUGUUGAUCUAGGAUCUGCAAGGUAAGAUCUAAAUUCUACAUAUCCAUAGAAACAGGGAUAACCUUGGAUAAGUUAUACGUUUUUCAGUCUUAUAGGAAGACAGUGGCAACUGUCUCCAAAUAAAUCUUACCAAGAAAGUCCCAUGAUAGGGUUAUCAUUAGCUGGAGUUGGCUCAAAGGCACAUUACAAUAACAACUCUCCAGUCACCUCAAUAGGCAGAGCUUUUCAGUGACAUUAUAAGCAUUAUUAAAAUAUAAUUAUCUUUUUUGUGUGAAAGAAGAACAGGAGCCAGAUUUGCUGCUGGAAAACUCAAUUAUCAAGGGGUGGGGUGGAGUACUUAUUUCUUCUGCUCUGUAUCAAACUCACUGAGACUGACGUUGUAUCUUGGAAUUCUUUGAAUGAUCAGAAAAUUAAGUUUAUUAAAAACAGGAGGUCAAGAUAUAGAUUUUUCUGUAGGCAAAGCAUGGUCUCUGCCUGCAUUGGAUUAACUUCUAAGUCUGGCAUUUCAUCUUCAGGAACUUUGGACAUCAAAUAUUUCUGUCACUUUGGACAAGCUGCUGGCUCCUUUCUUUGAUUCAGUACCAACGUAGGCAUUUGUGUGGAUGAUUUCAUGUCUUUUUUGAGGCAGCAAAACAAGGUUACAAUGUCUGUCCGGAAUUUAGAACUCAUGCCAAUACAGAUGAAUGGGUUGUAAAAACUGGCAGAUUUGGUGAAAAGAUUGGCAAGGGCACUGGUUUAUACGGGCACCUGAAAGCCACAUGGUAAUCACAUGGAGGUGACCGCACAAGGAGACCAUGCCAAGAGAAAGGCAGAACAAAUUGGAAAUGAAACCUAAAAUAUCAGAAAAAAAGGCUAAGGGAAUCAAAUCUGUACAUACCUCAUUUCAUUUCAAAUAAAAUGGCAGUUCUAGAAUUACUAAAGCUUUUGGAAAGACAUUUUAGUUUUGUAACUGCGGAAAUAUCUGAUUUUGUUUUAAGGAGAGCUUUUCAAAAUAUCUAUGCAUUAACUACUCUAAUGAAAGGCAGAACUUUCCUCCAGCUCUAUGUUAAAUGGAGCAAGAAAUAAGAAUUUCCUACCAGAGAACAUUAAUGCUGUAGUUAAGGGAAUGUGCUAGAUCUUUCUAGCAGAGGAUUCAAAGACCAUUUUACACUUUUUAAAAUUGAGCUGUAGCAAUUUUAGUGAUGCCAAACUACCAUAAUUAUAUAGUAUAGUGAGCUCUAAAUCACACAUUUUUCAGAUGAAAUAAGAUAUUGUACGUGAUGCAAACCUUUGCUUAGCUAUGGUCCUUUGGUGUCAGCAUCUGUUGUUCCUAGGAUAUUCUCUUUUUUAAAAAAAAGAAUGCUAGCAAAACACACUUUAAUAUCCUAUGCUCUUACCUAGACUUCUUCAAACCAGAUGCUGGAAGGAACAGGUCUGUGAACAGUCCCACCUGAGGUUGGCAGUCUACUAGAAGACCCCUUCUCUGAGGCUUAACCGCAAGAGCAACACACUGUGUCAUGGUGUGGAAGAGGCAGAACACAAACAGGAGCGAAUCAGGGUAACGAUAGAUAGAGCUAUCGGGCUCGGGCUGUGGCGCAGGCUGGAGAGCAGCAAUGAAUCACUGCAAUGAAUCACUCUGACCAGGAGGUCAUGAGUUCAAGGCCCGCUCGGAGCCAUGUUUGUCUUGUCUUUGUUCUGUGUUAAAAGGCAUUGAAUGUUUGCCUAUAUGUGUAAUGUGAUCCGCCCUGAGUCCCCUUCGGGGUGAGAAGGGCGGAAUAUAAAUGCUGUAAAUAAAUAAAUAAAUAAAUAAAUA